AAACUCAGUUUGACGAGAUGGAAUGCUGAUUGGAGGAAUGCAACAGCUUUGUAUGAACAGGCUGGAAAUGCUUAUAGGCUUGCUAGAAAGUUUGAGCAAGCUAAGGAAGCGUUUGAAAAGGCUUCGAAGGGGCACGAGAUGCUAGCUUCGCCUUGGGAUGCUGCAAAACAUAUGGAGACUGCUGGAGCUCUUGCAAAGGACGUAGGAAACUGGAACGAAGUGUCUGACUUCUAUAGACGCGCGUCUGAGUUGUACAUCGAGUGUGGAAGGGUACAACCUGCGUCGGAUGCGCUU